CUAUGGUGUAAUGGUUAGCACUCUGGACUCUGAAUCCAGCGAUCCGAGUUCAAAUCGGAUCUCGGUGG
rnacentral:tRNA from 1 species